rnacentral:rRNA from 1 species
GACGAACGCUGGCGGCGUACUUAAUGCAUGCAAGUCGAGCGGGGUCCAUCCCGUGGCAACACGGGUGAAGACCUAGCGGCGAACGGGUGCGUAACACGUGAGCAACCUGCCCCGAAGUCUGGGAUAACACCGGGAAACCGGUGCCAAUACCGGAUGCCCCCACCGGACCGCAUGAUCUGGUGAGGAAAGAUUUAUCGCUUCGGGAGGGACUCGCGGGCUAUCAGCUUGUUGGUGGGGUAACGGCCUACCAAGGCAUCGACGGCUAGCUGGUCUGAGAGGACGACCAGCCACACUGGGACUGAGACACGGCCCAGACUCCUACGGGAGGCAGCAGCAGGGAAUAUUGCGCAAUGGGCGAAAGCCUGACGCAGUAACGCCGCGUGGGGGAUGAAGGCCCUCGGGUUGUAAACCCCUUUCAGCAGGGACGAAAUUGACGGUACCUGCAGAAGAAGCACCGGCCAACUACGUGCCAGCAGCCGCCGUAAAAC